rnacentral:rRNA from 1 species
CCUACGGGAGGCAGCAGUGGGGAAUAUUGGACAAUGGGGGGAACCCUGAUCCAGCCCUACCGCGUGUGUGAAGAAGGCCUUUUGGUUGUAAAGCUCUUUAAGCGAGGAGGAGGCUACCGAGAUUAAUACU